GUCAUUUGUGGAGUCUAAAUGCAUGAAGUCCACUACCUCAACUAUACACAGAUUGGAGAUUUGCCUGUAUCUUAUCCAAAAGUGACAAUGCAUGGGAGGAAAAUGCCUCUGUUCCCUGACUUGACCAAGAACCGGAGAACUAGUAAAUGGAUUACAUUGGACACAAAACAAGUAUAGUUCUAUUGACUGGAGAGGACGCAACUCUUAUACUGUUUAUAACUGUCACCUUUAUAUCAACUGCAUAUCAUGGUUGUGUGGGGAGAGGGACAAGAACUGAAAGAACAACCCGUGGCAUUUUAUGGAAGUUACUGCUGAGACACUCGAUACCCCUCCAUUCUUUACUGGCUCCACUCCUCUUGAUUCCAUCUCUCAUGGACAUGUCACACAGACACUUGGUAUGUGUUAAAUCAGCACAAUGUCAUGGAGCCUUCAAGUUGCAGCAUGUUCUGAGUAGAUGCAUGGUGAUGUUUACUAGGAACCCUAAUAUGCACAGCUUGCACUCUGCUGCUAGAGGGUUGGUGAGCAGGCAUUCCAACAUACUGGGCCGGUAAGGCUUUUUUUUCUGUUUUCAACAGCAGCCAAAAACAACUGAGUACAGACAAAAGCGCCGACUGGCCUACUGUCUCACUGAGGAAACAAAUUCCAAUCCCUCCUCAAAGCUAGAUGGGAUUGCAUCUCCACUGACUUUCUGUAGCUGACGAGUGGUGGAAAUCAAGCAAAUCCUUUCCCAGGCCGCUGUAAUCCACAGGCACUCCAUGCUUUGACAGUGCAAGCUCCUGGCCCCAGCAAGGUGAUGCUUUGGUGGGGAUCGUGAUGCUGCCAUGGGUAUCAUGCUGGACCACUUGCAGUAGCCGCAACAUGAUACUGCAGAAGCUGGGGCACUGCACUGGAUGCCACCUCAUUGCUGUUGUGCACUACUGGUGUGCUUGGGCUGGUGGAAGCAGUUCAUGCUUGGAACCUGCGGGUCCAGGGUCCCUCAUCCAUGGAACUUUGUGCUGAGCUGCCUUUCCUGGUCCAGUGCUAGGACAUUAGGCUUCAGUGUUCCUUGUCCACCAAGAGAUGCAUGGCCCUGGCCAUUCGGAAGUUGGUGAACACCAACUUUGGACCAUGUUAGAAGACAACGUUGAUGACGGCCUUGAAUGAAGUAUGUGACGUACCAUAUUUGAGGAGAUGAGGUCUUGAUUCAUCCAAUUUGGGGAUCCACAAGAGAGUGCUUUGAACCUGCUGCCACUACAACCCCAAGCUGUGAGGCAGACUUGGAAUCCUGAAGGAUGAUGACUUUCACUUUGCUCGGUAUCCCUGGAGUGAUGGAGGCAGCUACUGUGUGGGACCCAAAAGACUGCCACUAGCCACUGGGUGGUGGGGAUGUGAGGUGGUUUGGGGUUACAGUCUAUUCUACAUGCCCCUUCCUCUCAGGGCUUUACCCCCUCAACCUCUCUGUUUGCACUCAGAUGAACCUAA